UUUUUUUUUUUUCUGCAUUCAGGUCACCAUUGUAGUUCUGUCCUCGUAUCAUCUGGGUAUCUGUUACUGCCACUGCCACCUGGAACCUGGGACAAGAAAGACUAAAAACAAGGAAGGUAUACAGGAAGCUUGUGAUUUCUGCAUAUUGAUUUUGUAUCCUGAGACUUUGCUGAAGUUGCUUAUCUGUUUAAGGAGAUUUGGAACUGAGAUGAUGGAGUCUUCUAAAUAUACAAUCAUGUCAUCUACAAAGAGUGGAAAAUCCAACAAAACCUGGAGUCCUGCUUACUUCUUACUGUUCCUUGUUGCAUGGCUUACUCUCUCCCUGAAAAGAAAACUGGUGAUUUCAUUAUUUUAA
rnacentral:lncRNA from 1 species